GAUGAACGCUGGCGGCGUGCCUAAUACAUGCAAGUCGAGCGAACGGACGAGAAGCUUGCUUCUCUGAUGUUAGCGGCGGACGGGUGAGUAACACGUGGAUAACCUACCUAUAAGACUGGGAUAACUUCGGGAAACCGGAGCUAAUACCGGAUAAUAUUUUGAACCGCAUGGUUCAAAAGUGAAAGACGGUCUUGCUGUCACUUAUAGAUGGAUCCGCGCUGCAUUAGCUAGUUGGUAAGGUAACGGCUUACCAAGGCAACGAUGCAUAGCCGACCUGAGAGGGUGAUCGGCCACACUGGAACUGAGACACGGUCCAGACUCCUACGGGGGGCAGCAGUAGGGAAUCUUCCGCAAUGGGCGAAAGCCUGACGGAGCAACGCCGCGUGAGUGAUGAAGGUCUUCGGAUCGUAAAACUCUGUUAUUAGGGAAGAACAUAUGUGUAAGUAACUGUGCACAUCUUGACGGUACCUAAUCAGAAAGCUACGGCUAACUACGUG
rnacentral:rRNA from 1 species